rnacentral:rRNA from 1 species
GUGGGGAAUUUUGGACAAUGGGCGCAAGCCUGAUCCAGCAAUGCCGCGUGCAGGAAGAAGGCCUUCGGGUUGUAAACUGCUUUUGUACGGAACGAAACGGUCCUGGUUAAUACCUGGGGCUAAUGACGGUACCGUAAGAAUAAGCACCGGCUAACUACGUGCCAGCAGCCGCGGUAAUACGUAGGGUGCAAGCGUUAAUCGGAAUUACUGGGCGUAAAGCGUGCGCAGGCGGGUUUGUAAGACAGGCGUGAAAUCCCCGGGCUCAACCUGGGAAUUGCGCUUGUGACUGCAAGGCUGGAGUGCGGCAGAGGGGGAUGGAAUUCCGCGUGUAGCAGUGAAAUGCGUAGAUAUGCGGAGGAACACCGAUGGCGAAGGCAAUCCCCUGGGCCUGCACUGACGCUCAUGCACGAAAGCGUGGGGAGCAAACAGGAUUAGAAACCCGGGUAGUCC